GUCGAGUUUAAAAUAUAGAUUAGGGAUUUUAAUAUGAUUUCUGAACAUUGGAGAGAGAUCAGAAACUGUCAGGGAAUGAUAUUAAGAACUGGUGGACAGGAGACUAGGUAAAAAAUAAUGGAAUGGGAAGGUGGAGUAAAGGCCACCAAAAAAAAAAAAAGAAA